UGCGUAGGCGGUUUUGUAAGUCUGAUGUGAAAUCUAUGGGCUCAACUCAUAGUCUGCAUCGGAAACUGCAGGGCUUGAGUGUGGGAGAGGUGAGUGGAAUUUCCGGUGUAGCGGUGAAAUGCGUAGAUAUCGGAAGGAACACCUGUGGCGAAAGCGGCUCACUGGACCACAACUGACGCUGAAGCACGAAAGCCAGGGGAGCAAACAGGAUUAGAUACCCUGGUAGUCCUAGCCCUAAACGAUGACUGCUUGGUGUGACGGGUACCCAAUCCCGCCGUGCCGGAGCUAACGCGUUAAGCAGUCCGCCUGGGGAGUACGGUCGCAAGGCUGAA
rnacentral:rRNA from 1 species